GACGAACGCUGGCGGCGUGCUUAACACAUGCAAGUCGAACGGAAAGGCCCCUUUCGGGGGUUCCCCGGGGGGCGAACGGGGGGUAAACACGGGGGUAACCUGCCCUUGCCUUGGGGUUAACUCCAGGAAACUGGGGCUAAUACGGGAAGGAGGCUCCGCCGGCUGGGGGGGGGUGGGAAGGUUUCGGCGGUUGGGGUUGGACUCGCGGCUUAUCAGCUUGUUGGUGGGGUAGUGGCUUACCAAGGCUUUGACGGGUAGCCGGCCUGAGAGGGUGACCGGCCACAUUGGGACUGAGAUACGGCCCAGACUCCUACGGGAGGCAGCAGUGGGGAAUAUUGCACAAUGGGUGGAAGCCUGAUGCAGCAACGCCGUGUGCGGGAUGACGGCCUUCGGGUUGUAAACCGCUUUCGCUCAUGACGAAGCUUUGUGUGACGGUAGUGGGUAAAGAAGCACCGGCUAACUACGU
rnacentral:rRNA from 1 species